rnacentral:lncRNA from 1 species
UUUCCACCAGGCAUGAUAUUGGUAACUCGUCGAGAUUCCUCGAUAAGUGGUAGGACUGAAAGAUCAGGUUUUGGCUUGCUUUCCUUCUCAUAAACGUAAUAUCAUUUUCCGUUGUUUUUACCUGAAAUGCCAAAAGCACAAAGCAGUUGGAACAAAAAACAUGUUACAAUACCCCUCUUCACCUUCUUUCCGAAAAAGGCUGAUCUAAUAAAAUUACUGAAGUUCUAGAUUACCAUUUCGUCCAUUUUUUAUCAAGAUCUCAACCAAUGGAGAUUUAAAUGUGCGAUCAGGGAAAGCACGAGAUAAUUCCUUUCCAGCAGCAAGGGCUACUCCGUAGCCUCCCAAGUCUUGAAGCCUGCAAGUCAAGAGCGCUAGAUAUUAUCAACAUUGUAGUUCUUAAUUCUACGAUCAGUAGGCAUAAACAUUCCUAAAAAAAAGCCAGAUCCUAUGUUAAGAUGAACAGAAUAAGGAGUGACCCCAAGCCAACAAGGCUCUUUGCUUUGCAAGGGUCGGGGAGGAAUGUCUAUCGUACGCAGCCUUACCUUUACAAAGAGACUAUUUCCAUAACUCGAACCCGUGAUCUUUUUUGGUCACAAAGGUGCAACCUUUCCGUUGUGCCAAGGCUCGCCCUCUAAAAUGAACAAAAGAAAACAGGAAAUCUAGGUACGGUGAAAAGGAAGAAAGUUACUGGAAUGGACCCAUAGGUAGGCCAAAAUCCCUGAUGAUCCUGUCAAUUCUGAACACAUCCACUCCUGAAUUGACUAAUAAAUGGGCACUUUGUGAGUAGGGAAAGAAUGCUCGAUUGGCGGCAAAGCCUGUGCAGUUACCAACCACAACAGGAACUUUCUUUAUUAUUUUUCCAACAGUAAAAAGAUCAAGAAUAACUUGUGCUGAAGUCUUCUCUGUCCGUACUAUUUCAAGAAGAGGCAUCACAUGAGCAGGGCUGGCCAUCAAAGAACGAUUCAAAAAUAAGUAGAGUAUAAACAAAAAGCAUUCCACCAUAACUAUCAGUACAUAUAUAAAAAAUGAUGACAAAAAAUGGUUUUAGAUGAGUAAGACAUUUCUAAGUGGAAAAAAAGCGUGUUUCUUUUCUUCGAGUGGUAAAGAUGUGUGCUACUGGGAAGAAAAAUGCAUGAAAUAACCUGAAAAAAUGUGCCCCCACAAUGCGAUCAUGAGAGUUUGUCUUUUCUCCAACAACGUUGAGGUCAAUAGUGGAUGUGUUUGUAGCCAAUACGCAGUGAGGAGGACAAACAUUCUCGAGUUCACUAAAGAUUUUUUGUUUGAGAGGAACACUUUCAAUGACGGCCUGCAAACAAGGAAUAAUUGUAUCAAAUGACUUUCAAACAGAAAUUCAAGAGGUAAUAUGUAGAUAAUACAAAUUUCAUUACAACAAGAAGCAUUAAGUAGAGAGCAGAUGCUAAGGCUCUCAGUGUAACAUCUCACAUCGUUCAGGGGAGUGAUCCUUAUAUGUAUAUUCUCAUCCCUACCUAGCACGAGGCAUUUUGGGAACUCAUUGACUUCGGAGUUCAUCGAAACUCGAAAGUUAAGCGAGUAGCGCAUGAGAGCACUUCUAUGAUGGGUGACCUAUUGGGAAGUUCUCGUGUGAGUUCCCAGAAACAAAACCGUGAAGGCAUGGUCGAGGCCCAAAGCGGACAAUAUCGUGCCCAGGGAAGUGAUCCUUAUAUGUAUAUUCUCAUCCAUACCUAGCACGAGGCCUUUUGGAAGCUUAUUGGCUUCGGAGUUCAUCGGAAUUCAGAAGUUAAGCAAGUAGCGCACGAAAGCACUCCCAUGAUGGGUGACUCACUGAGAAGUUCUUGUGCGAGUUCCCAGAAACAAAACCGUGAGGACGUGGUCGGGGCCCAAAGCGGACAAUAUUGUGCUACGGCGGUGGAGCGGGCCUGGGAUGUGGUGGACCCCGGGUCGGGAUGUGACAAUUUGGUAUCAGAGCCAAUCCCUGGCCGGAAGUGUGCCAACGAGGACGUCGGGCCUUUAAGUGGGGUGGAUUGUAACAUCCCACAUCGCCCAGGGGAGUAAUCCUUAUAUGUAUAUUUUCAUCCCUACCUAGCACGAGGCCAGGGGAGUAAUCCUUAUAUGUAUAUUCUCAUCCCUACCUAGCACGAGGCCUUUUGGGAGCUCAUUGGCUUCGGAGUUCAUUGGAACUCGGAAGUUAAGCGAGUAGCGCACGAGAGCACUUCCAUGAUGAGUGACCCAUAGGAAGUUCUCGUGUGAGUUCCCAGAAACAAAACACUGAAGAUGUGGUCGGGGCUCAAAACGAACAAUAUCGUGCUACGACGGUAGAACGGGUCUGGGAUGUGGUGGACCCCGGGUCAAGAUGUGACACUCAGGCCCAAAAAGGUGGUCAAUACAGAUGAGCACAAGAAAUCACCUCUAACAGAACAGAGAAGGUUUAAGAAAAUGGUCCGAAAAUAUGAAAGAAAAAACAAAAAAGAAAUUGAAAACAUCUGGUAUGGCAUUCUAAAAUUCCAUACCUCUAUGACCAUAUCCACAUCUUUGAAGUCGGAGUAGUCCAAACUAUCUUUAAGCAAUGCGAGAGCUUUCUGUGCCUUGUCCUGUGUCAGCCCCCUUCUAGUUACUAAGCCUUUAACGUUUCCUGUUGAAACAAAAAAACAACGAUAAAGAAUUUGAAGAUUUCAGGUUUCAAAUAUCACCAGUGCACUGUAUACUCAAAAACCAUGCCAGAGUGUGAUUUUGUUAGUUAUCUGAAAACAAGUGAACCAUCAAUCUGCUACAAAAUUCAGCAUGGACUCCCAGUUAAAAUAAACAUGAUCUAAUGCAGCCUGAAUCCUGAAGACUCAUUCAUAACUCAUAGGAAAAUGGUAAAUAUCAAGAAUUCUGCCAAUGAGGUAACCACCUUCUAUCUUUUCUAUGCCCUUCUGAAGAUAUUCAAAGUUGACUUCCUUUAGAACCACAGAUAUAUUGCUGAGGAGAAGGGCUGUAGCAAUGCCAGAACCCAUCAGACCUCCCCCAAUAACAGCAACUUUCUUUAUUUGCCUUGGUUUAAGGCCAACAUCAGUAACAUUGGGCACCUGCAUAAGUUAAAAUUUAAGUAGAUACAACAAGAAUCAAAAGGAGGGUAAAAUGCAGAAACCGCUUCCUGGCAACAGAAGAUAAUAAACACUCUUCAUAAAAUUUAAAUAAUUAGCAGAGGCAUUGCAUAAAAGCAUCAAUACAAAUUCAAUUACUUAAGGAUGAAUAGUGGAUAACUGGAUUUAGAAAGCCAAAACAAAUGGGAAAUCUCAUUAAGAAGCCAGGAGAGGGUUGUUUAGGGCCAAAUCUGUCAACAAAUGUCAUCAACACAAAGACAGAGGACUGGAAAAAAAUCUAAAAAAAAAAAAAUGGGAAAAAGGGACCGGGCAAGCUAGUAAAGAAGCUACUUGUGUAUCAAGAUCGUACCUUUGAUGUUGCGCGUUGGGCAAAAAAAACAUGGACAAGACUCUUGCAGUGUCUGCUAGAAGUAACUCCUUAGAAACUUUAGCCUCCUGAAAUAACAAUUUAAUUUGUUAGAACAUAUGUGAACCGGCAUGCCAUUACACAUAUGAAGGACGAUUAAACAUGUAUAACAAACAAUGUAUUAAAAGGCCGGGGAGUGGGCGAGGCGUCGGAGGGAUAGCCCGGCCUAGGCGUCGGAGGGAUAGCCCGGCCUAGGCGUGAGGCGUGAGGCGAAGCUUCACGGGAUUAAUUUUUUUUAAAUAUAUGUUUUACAUAUUAUACAUAUAAUUGUAUUAAAAAAAUAAUACUUUGUAAAAUAAACAUCCAUUCUCAAUUUAUCAUUCAAAUCAUAGUCAUUCAAAAGAUAAUAUCAUCUAAUUUCAUCAUUCAAAAGGUAAUAUCAUCCAAAUUCAUCAUUCAAAAAAUAACACAAACAUUAACUAAAAUUGAAACAUGGAAUUUUCUGUUUUUGCCACUUUUUAGAUAGCAAAGAAAUGCAGCUUUUUUGUUUUUUUACCACAAAAUGCCUAAUUUAAUAUUUAUGCAAGAAUUUUACACCCUAAAUAACUGAAAAACUCUACAGAAUUCAUAAAUAAUUGAAAGGGAAAUUUUAUUUAAACUCAUCUAACCUAUUUUAUUCAUAAUACUUGAUUUCUUUGGUCUGGCCCCCGUAGUUAUUCCAUUCCACAGGACACUCCCACCAGGACUUUGCAUGGGGCCGCCAUGCUCCUUGACAGGCCACCCAAACAAAUUAGGGUUUUAGCCAGAAUGAACGUAGGAUAAACAAAGAGUGAUGGUAGGGUUUAAUUAUAGUGUUUGGGUUUAUUGAUAAAUUUGAGUUUUAUUAUUAAUUUUAUUUUGUACUUAAUAGUAAUGAUGCAAUAGGGUAAAAUAGACAAUUAACAUUUAAAAUUUCAGUUGAGUGUAAAAAGAGGUUGAAUAAGUUUAAAUAAAAUUUCCCUAAUUGAAAAUACAGAAAUUAUGUGCAUCAUUCAAGAUCUCAGGAAAACCAAGAUUUUCAAAACCAAUUAGUUUCAAUUAGAUCUCAGUCAAGUCCAAACCUUUUUGGCCAAUUUGCCAGCUUUACACAUUACAUACAAGCUUAACUAUUAAAAUAAACUAAUUUAAUCAUAUAAUUCAACUUAAUAAACCAUUAAAAAAUUAGAGACAGAAAGACAUAGACAGAGAAUACAAUAAAUUCAAAAAGAAUCAAUAGAAAAAGGAAAUAGAAAGUGAAGAUCUAGCAUAAAAUAAACUAUACUGCCUUAAAAUCAGAACCAACACACUUUAUUUCGACAAAUUAAGGAAACCCAGUUCCAGAAUCUCCCACAAAACAGAAAAGAAACUUUAUUUCGACGAAUCAAGAAAACCCAGUUCCCUUUUCAAGUUGAAGAGUCAACAAACAUCGAACAUAUACUUCUCUCUCUCGCGCGCGCGCGCACACACACUCUCUCUCUAGAAAAAGCUUCAGCAAGUACAAAAAGAAACAGACUUGGAAGCUCAAAGUACAGACUAUGGCUUCUACGUAGCUGGUAUUAGUUCGAGAUUACUUCCAUUAUAUUUAAAUAAUAAAAAAAUAGAGGAGGAAGAAGAAGGAGUUGGUGGUUGAAAGGUUGCAGCAAGAUAGCCAUAGCAUUAUUGGAAGGUGUAGCAUGAGAGAGACUAUUGUAAAGAAACAAAAAGGAGAAGAAGAAAAUCAAUUGGCAAUAUGAGUAAUAGUCUAAGAUCAUAUAAGCACGUAGCAAGCAUUGUUUCUCAUCGAUGUGGGACAACUCUCAACACGCCUCGUAUGUAUGGCAGAUUUUCAAGCCUACACAUGGAUAACAACUGGGUGACGUGGAGCACGUGUGGCCGUUUGGCUUCACACGAUGACAACCUGCUUUGAUACCAUGAUGAAAUUAGGGUUCCACCAUUAAACCAAUUGGCAAUACGAGGAGUAACCCAAGAUCAUAUAAGCACAUAGCAAACAUUGUUCCUCACCGAUGUGAAACAACUCUCAAUAGGUUUUUCAAAAAAAAAAAAAAAAAAAAAGCCAAACAAGAUGCCUGGACGCCUUGAGGCACGCCUCCGCCGUCUCGGCAUCAUCGGUAAAGCAUUCUGUCCACUCCCUCAAAACAAAGGCACAAACAUUGACGCCCAGCCUCAGAGAACGCCUAGGCGCGCCCUGAGGCAAGCCUUUUAAAACAUUGAUAUUAACAAACAAAGCCAAUGACAUCAAAAUUACCAUUAAAAGGCCACUGUAUCCUCCAUGAACAAUGCCAUCCUCGAUCACAUUGAGGCAUGCUUGGUGAUGAGGCAUAUUGGGAGCAUUCUUCCUGGCUUGUUGUCUGGCAACUUUCAGUAUCUCUCGAGCCUCAGACAGGGAAGCAAGUUUAUCUGUCCUGUGAAGAGAGCGCAACCACGGUUUUCGUCUGUCUGCAAUUUCCAAAGCCCAUGAACGAGAUACUUUCAGCAACUCUUGAGGAGACACAAUAGCAUCUAUAAGACCAAGCUUCUUCCCUUCUUCAGACAGGAUUGGCUUCAACGACUGAAAAGGACCACAUGCUGUACUAAAUUAGAAUCAAUGCAAAAUGAGCUUAUAAUGGAUAAUAAUUUUGAGUAAAAUUUCAAGUUGUCCAAAACAAGCACACUGCGUGUGUUCAGCGUACGGACCUAAAUAUAUAGUUUCAAGAUAGAACACAAGAAAUUAUUUCAUGACAUAUGGGUAUAAAGCUCAACUUGGGAGCAGCCUCUCCAUAAAUGGGGGUAAGGCUAGCCGACAUUCACCUCUCCCAGACCCUGCGUAAAGCGGGAGCCUUGUGCACUGGGUACGACCUUUUUAUAUGGGUAUAAAGCUCAAACAAAAUAUAGUUUAGAGAUAGAACACAAUAAAUUAUUUCAUAAUUCUCAACAUUUCAGUAUGAAGCUCUAAUAAAUUCUAACUGUUCCACACUAAGCUAUCUUUUCCUCUUUUGCCUUUUGUCCCCUCAAAGCAAAUGACAAUGUUUAUGGUAGAUCAAGAAUUGAAAGAAUAUAGUUGCAACCACAAAACUAGAAAAUUGAAAACAAAUAAAAAAAAUGAGCAGAGGGGCCAAUUACCAGCAUCAUUUCAAUUGCCUUCUGAAGCCCUACAAGCCUUGGAAGACGUUGUGUGCCUUACAUAGCAACAAUAUUUUAACAUUUCAGUACCACAAACGACAUUAUUUUAGUGUCCAAUUUACUUGCUUGUGUAGAAAAAAAGUUAUACCUCCAAAUCCAGGUAUUACUCCAAGAGACAACUCUGGAAGACUAAGUUGAGCUCUUGGAGCAGCAAUACGUGCAUGGCACCCCUGCAUGAAAUUUACUAAUAAGACGCAAUUCCACUACAGUUCUGACAGCAAAUUUAUCACCAAAAAUCUAAAAACCAGAAGUUGUCCACUCAUGGGUGCGAGCACAAACCAAUGCCAACUCCAAGCCACCUCCUAGUGCAAGUCCUUCGACGGCAGCAACAACAGGCUUUUUUGAAUCUGUUAUACACACAAGCGGUUAACUCUGAGCAGCAAAAAUGGAACCCAGUAAUUGACCUUUUAGAAAAGAACAUUGGGGACAAUACUUUCAAGUGUGUUGAGCACCAAGUCAAAAGAUACAUCGGGCAUAACCAAAACAUCCCCUACAACACCACACAAAACAACGGUGAGUUCUCAAUCCAUUUCAUCAGUUAACUCAAUGCUACAAAUAGAGAGAGACCAACAUUGUUCAUUUGAAUCAUACCAGACUCGUGAACCUUCCCGAAAACAUUGAUAUCGAAACCGGCUGAAAACCUUCCCGCAUUGCCUUCAUUAAACAAAAAACAAGAAAAUUAAAUUUCAAAACAUCCACAAAGCAGAAGAAAAUCAAUACAAAGAUUCAAGCUUUCAAUUGUCUAAACUUAGAUUUUAUAAUUGGGACGAACUAAAUCGAACAAAACGUCACCACAUCACAAUUCAAUCGAAAGAGCAGGAAUGGAAGCUGCAUUACCAGUCAAAACGAUCGCCUUGACGUCGUUUCGCCUCACGGCCUCCUCGAAUUUCUCCUUCAAGCUAGCUACAGCUGCAGAAGCACCAAAAUAUCAACAAACAAUUACGAACCGCCAGAAAUUUGAUAACGCAGAGGCAGAGCUAGCUCGUUUACUCGGUAUGUCCAAGGCGUUGACAGGUGGAUUGAAGAUGGUGAUGACUGCAACGCCAUCGUUGCCGACCUCCAAGGUGACCUUGACCUUCGCCAUGGAUUCGAAAACCAGAGUGAAGAAGAAGAAGAGAGUGCUAUUUUGAAUGGUACAGUAUCUCGAUUCAUCUCAACGAGGAAUUUAUUGUCGGUGCCUCUAUUUUGAAUGGUACGGUAUCUCGAUUCAUGCAUGUGUUGACUAAUUACACUCAACGGAUAAGUAAGGUAUGGUCUUGUGUGUGUGAAGUACAUUAAACGACCUAUUAACCUUUGGUAUCUCCUUUUGUCAUCUUGUACUUCAUUAGGAUCCAUACUAAAACUUCAACCCUUCAUCUAAUGGUGUAGCUACUGGCUGACAAGUUGACAUGACGGUUUCAUGCAACAAAUCAAUAAUAUACUUCCUUAGAGACAAGAAAAUUAUAGAACAGCUUCUCGAUACCUCAAUCCAUGUUAUCACCAUAUCAUCUACAUGCACAAUAAAUGCAAUCGGCUUCCUAUUUCGUUUUUUUCAGAAAUAGUGUACGACCGAAGUUACUUUAUCUGUAGCCAAAUGUUCUCAUAGAAUUUGUGAAGCUUCCAAAUCACGCUCAAGAGGACUGUUUCGAACCACACAAAGAUUUCUUCAACCUACACACCUUUCUUUUGUAUUUAUCUAGAGCAUUACAUACCAGUGGCAGAUCUAUAUAAAUAUUUUUUUGUCAAAUCUCCAUGCAAGAAGACAUUCUUCACAUCGAACUGUUGUAAUGGCCAAUUAAGAAGUAUAACAAAACACAUAUCGUAUUGAGCUUGGUUAUAGGGGCAAACAUAUAUGUAUAGUCGAUUCCAUAUUUUUUAGCGUACCCUUUUGCUACCAGUCUUGCCUUUAAUCGAUCCAUCAACACUUCAGCUUUGUACUUCAAGUAUAGACCCAUUUGCAUCCCACAAGUUUCUUGCUAACUAGCAAGUCUGUGAUCUCCCAGGUAGCAUUAUUUUUCAAAGACUUCAACUCUUCAUUCAACGUUGCUUGCCAACAUGGAUUAGCUAAAGCCUCCAAAAACUUCAACUUUUCAUUCAUUACUUCUUAGACGCAGAACCGAGGAAAACCACCUAACCAUACUCGCCGGAUGAAGGAAAGGGAUCCAAAUAUCCUAUUGCCAACCAUGUGUCAUCACAUAAACUUCAACAUCAUGCAAAUCAUUCAUACAAAAACUAUCAUCUGAUAAUAUUCCGAGUUCCUUGAAAGAAGCCCUAUCUGAUACUAGAUGGACCAAGGCCAUGAAAGAAGAGAUGAGGGCACUUCACAAGAACCGAACGUAGGAUCUAGUCCCAUUUGCCGAGAGGAAAGAAAAGAGUAGGUGAUGUGGGUGUAUGCAAUCAAGCACAAAGCAGAUGAAUCCUGUUGAUGCACAAAAUCGGUGAGGAUUUUGGUGCAACAGAAAGUGUCAAGUUUGUGACCUUCACUAGAUUGCUCCGGUCACUAGUGUGGAUACGUAUGUAAAUAGAUAGAGACAGGGAAGCAAACACAAGAUGUACGUGGUUCACCCAGAUUGGCUACAUCCACGGAGUAGAGGAGUACUUAUUAAUUGUGAAGAGUUUACACAUGUAUAUAGGUUCAAGCUCUCCUUUAGUGAGUACUAGUGAAUGAUUUAGUACAAAUGACAUUAGGAAAUAUUGUGGGAGAAUGAUCUCCUUUUAUAGAAGAGAGUUUCUAGCUUUGUUUUGACAUUGACACGUGUCGUAUUGUGAUUGGCCUCUGAUGUUGACACGUGUCUCGCUGUGAUUGACCUCUGAUGUCGACACGUGUCACGCUGUGAUUGGCCUCCUGAUUGGAGGGAACCUCUUGUGGAUCCUUGAUAGUAUAACGUUGACCGGUGCUCAGUAGUUUCGGGAUUGGUCAAGUAUGGUACAAACAAAUCCAUUGAGAGGUACAAGGCCUAAUUGGUUGCCAAAGGUUAUACGCAAACCUAUUGUCUUGACUACACAGAGACAUUUGCUCUAGCAGCAAAAUUCAACACAGUAAGAGUGUUGCUUUCAUUGGCAGCAAACCUAGAUUAGCUUACAACAAUUUGAUGUGAAGAACGUCUUUUUACAUGGAAAUCUUAAUGAGGAAGUGUAUAUGAACAUUCCACUAGGGUAUACAUCACUUACACAAUCAAGAGUAAUGUGUAAACUGAACAAAGCUAUGUAUGGACUGAAGCAAUCACGUCGUGCGUGGUUUUGUCAAGUGCAGCAACGGAGCAUAAAGGUCUGGUAAAAAGAUUAUGUGAUAUAUGAAGGCUUCAGCUGUUGCUUACAGAACUUGGGUAUCCGCCGACACUUGCAACAAAGUUGUUAUGUGAUAACAAGGCUGCCAUUAAUAUUUCUCAUAAUCUAAUUAAGCGUGGUUGAACCAAACAUGUUGAAGGAGAAGUUAGACGCAAACAUCAUUCAAUUUCCUUUCGUGAAAUCAAAAGAUCAACUAGCAUAUAUUUUAACAAAGGCAGUUGGAAGUCAAACAUCCUACAACUCACUCGACAAGUUGGGCAUCAACGACAUUUAUACACCAACUUGAGGAGUGCUGGCAUAAGUUGACUUUUUGACGUAAUUAGGGCUUUGUUCCCUAUAUGAUUCCUUGUAAUUAUGGUAGACUUUUAUUUAUUUAUUCUUGUCUUGUAAGUAGUUGUAAUACGUAUCUUGCCUCCUAUGUGAGAAGAGUACAUUGAAGAAUUCAACCACCCAAAUGAGCACCCCGAAUCUUAUUUUCCUAAAUACUGAAUGUGCUCGAAAACCGGUCGAAAAUAGGUUUCAUCUGCUUACAUGCGUGACCUUGAAGACGGGGACGACGACACUGGUGCACUCUGCAGCGCAAGAAAAAAAAUGCCUCAUGUUUACUUCAAAAGGGGAAAAAGUGAAGUACGAAAAUAAGAAUAGUUGUUCUUACCAGAGGCAACCCUCUCGUUGCUCUUUCUUCCAAAAACCUUGAUGGUUUGAAAAAGUUGCCAUAUGUUCCGGACCAUUUCUUGAGACUAGCGUAUAUGUGUUUUGGGCCAACGAGGUCUGCCCAGACACAAUACCGCCCCUGCCAUGUAAGAAACAACGAUGUGAAAUCAAGCAUGUACAUUAACUAACAAGAUCGUUACUGUCAACCAAGUGAAAACACUAAUAGUACACAACUGCAACAAGCUUGUACAAAAAUGGAGAGGGUUGUUCAAGUCCGGACAGUUGAUCCCGCAAGGGAUCCAUUGCCUUGCACCUCAGAUGUCCAGAUCAAACAAUCAGCCCUCUCCAUUAGCUGCACGAGUAGAGAGGCGAAUAUUUCAAACAUCUAAAGUUCAAGCAGACACGAGGGUCAAAAUAGAACUCACCGGUAAGAGGGGAAACUCAUCCCAAGAACAGAUGCGAUGUCAAGGUCUGAUGCUCGAAUAACUAUUCCUUCAUCUAGAAUACGACAUGCCUCAUUCACCGCAGGAAACAGCAUCAUCUCCAGAAUUUCUUGGUCUGUAACAGUCAAAGGCUGCAAGCCAUAGUCCAGCAAACACGUUGAGCAUGAUAGCUAAGAAUGCAUUAUUUAAAGCAACUACUAAGCCCGUAACAGCAAGACAGAAUUCCACUUAGAGUACUACUGUGCAUAAAUGAGAAUCUAUCUUCUGACGUACAGAAAAAGUACCUUUCCAUCAGGCAUGAUAUUGGAAACUCGUCUAGAUUCCUCAAUAAGUGGUAGGACAGAAAGAUCAGGUUUUGGCUUGCUUCCCUUCUCAUAAACGUAAUAUCCUUUUCCGUUGUUUUUACCUGAAAUGCCAAAAGCACAAAGCAGUUAGAACAAAAAACAUGUUACAAUACCCCUCUCCACCUUCUUUCCGAAAAAGGAUGAUCUAAUAAAAUUACUGAAGUUCU